AGAGUUUGAUCAUGGCUCAGAUUGAACGCUGGCGGCAGGCCUAACACAUGCAAGUCGAGCGGUAGCACAGAGAGCUUGCUCUCGGGUGACGAGCGGCGGACGGGUGAGUAAUGUCUGGGAAACUGCCUGAUGGAGGGGGAUAACUACUGGAAACGGUAGCUAAUACCGCAUAACGUCGCAAGACCAAAGUGGGGGACCUUCGGGCCUCAUGCCAUCAGAUGUGCCCAGAUGGGAUUAGCUAGUAGGUGAGGUAACGGCUCACCUAGGCGACGAUCCCUAGCUGGUCUGAGAGGAUGACCAGCCACACUGGAACUGAGACACGGUCCAGACUCCUACGGGAGGCAGCAGUGGGGAAUAUUGCACAAUGGGCGCAAGCCUGAUGCAGCCAUGCCGCGUGUGUGAAGAAGGCCUUCGGGUUGUAAAGCACUUUCAGCGGGGAGGAAGGCGAUAAGGUUAAUAACCUCAUCGAUUGACGUUACCCGCAGAAGAAGCACCGGCUAACUCCGUGCCAGCAGCCGCGGUAAUACGGAGGGUGCAAGCGUUAAUCGGAAUUACUGGGCGUAAAGCGCACGCAGGCGGUCUGUCAAGUCGGAUGUGAAAUCCCCGGGCUCAACCUGGGAACUGCAUUCGAAACUGGCAGGCUAGAGUCUUGUAGAGGGGGGUAGAAUUCCAGGUGUAGCGGUGAAAUGCGUAGAGAUCUGGAGGAAUACCGGUGGCGAAGGCGGCCCCCUGGACAAAGACUGACGCUCAGGUGCGAAAGCGUGGGGAGCAAACAGGAUUAGAUACCCUGGUAGUCCACGCCGUAAACGAUGUCGAUUUGGAGGUUGUGCCCUUGAGGCGUGGCUUCCGGAGCUAACGCGUUAAAUCGACCGCCUGGGGAGUACGGCCGCAAGGUUAAAACUCAAAUGAAUUGACGGGGGCCCGCACAAGCGGUGGAGCAUGUGGUUUAAUUCGAUGCAACGCGAAGAACCUUACCUGGUCUUGACAUCCACAGAACUUAGCAGAGAUGCUUUGGUGCCUUCGGGAACUGUGAGACAGGUGCUGCAUGGCUGUCGUCAGCUCGUGUUGUGAAAUGUUGGGUUAAGUCCCGCAACGAGCGCAACCCUUAUCCUUUGUUGCCAGCGGUUAGGCCGGGAACUCAAAGGAGACUGCCAGUGAUAAACUGGAGGAAGGUGGGGAUGACGUCAAGUCAUCAUGGCCCUUACGACCAGGGCUACACACGUGCUACAAUGGCAUAUACAAAGAGAAGCGACCUCGCGAGAGCAAGCGGACCUCAUAAAGUAUGUCGUAGUCCGGAUUGGAGUCUGCAACUCGACUCCAUGAAGUCGGAAUCGCUAGUAAUCGUAGAUCAGAAUGCUACGGUGAAUACGUUCCCGGGCCUUGUACACACCGCCCGUCACACCAUGGGAGUGGGUUGCAAAAGAAGUAGGUAGCUUAACCUUCGGGAGGGCGCUUACCACUUUGUGAUUCAUGACUGGGGUGAAGUCGUAACAAGGUAACCGUAGGGGAACCUGCGGUUGGAUCACCU
rnacentral:rRNA from 1 species